GAGGGGAUAGCUCAGUGGUAGAGCGCAUGCUCAGCAUGCAUGAGGUCGUGGGUUCAAUCCCUAGUCCCUCCG
rnacentral:tRNA from 1 species